GGGGAUAACUAUUGGAAACGAUAGCUAAUACCGCAUAACAAGCAAAUGUUGCAUGACAUUUGCUUAAAAGGUGCAAUUGUCAUCACUACCAGAUGGACCUGCGUUGUAUUAGCUAGUUGGUGGGGUAAUAGCCUACCAAGGCGACGACGGGUAGCCGGCCUGAGAGGGUGUACGGCCACAUUGGGACUGAGACACGGCCCAG
rnacentral:rRNA from 1 species